CCUACGGUGGGCAGCAGUGGGGAAUAUUGCGCAAUGGGCGAAAGCCUGACGCAGCGACGCCGCGUGAGGGAUGAAGGUCUUCGGAUCGUAAACCUCUGUCAGCAGGGAAGAACGGUCACUGUGCUAAUCAGCAGUGAAUUGACGGUACCUGCAAAGGAAGCACCGGCUAACUCCGUGCCAGUAGCCGCGGUAAUACGGAGGGUGCGAGCGUUAAUCGGAAUUACUGGGCGUAAAGCGCUCGUAGGCGGUAUGUCAAGUCAAGGGUGAAAUCCCCGCGCUCAACGUGGGAACUGCCUUUGGAACUGGCAAACUUGAGUGUUGGAGAGGAUAGGGGAAUUCCAGGGGUAGGGGGGGAAUCCGGAGAUAUCUUGAGGAACAACAGUGGCGAAGGCGGCUAACUGGAACAUAACUGACGCUGAGGAGCGAAAGCGUGGGUAGCAAACAGGAUUAGAUACCCUUGUAGUC
rnacentral:rRNA from 1 species